rnacentral:lncRNA from 1 species
CCAGGCUGGGACCAAGGUGUACCUCUCGGCGGCGCCGCAGUGCCCCUACCCGGACCAGUCCUUGGGGAACGCGCUGCAGACGGGGCUCUUCGACUACGUGUGGGUGCAGUUCUACAACAACCCCAGCUGCGACUACUCGUCGGGGGUCAGCGGCCUGAGCAGCGCAUGGGGGACGUGGACGUCGAGCUUGUCGUCAUCGACCGUCUUCCUGGGGCUGCCGGCCUCGCAGGACGCGGCCGGGAGCGGGUACAUCCCGCCCGACGUCCUCACCUCCCAGGUGCUGCCGGCGAUCAAGACUGCGUCCAACUACGGCGGCAUCAUGCUGUGGAGCAGAUACUACGAUCUCAACAGCGGGUACAGCGCUGCCGUGAGGAACAGUGUUUGAGAUGGCGAUGUACUCACUACCAUAUGUGUGCUUCCGAUUACGAGGUCAUGAAUAAGGCGGGACAGUGAUAGAAAGGUGUUCCAGAUUGAUGUGACGAUGCGUCCCAAUAAAAUAAAGAUUGCGUGUUUUUAUGGAGGCAUUGAGGUGGUCAGAGUAAUAAAUAAUACAUAAGUGAUAUAUCUUAAAUUUAAAUUUAGAUGUGAGCAUCAUAUUUGAGUACACGAGUAUCAUGUCCGUUAUUUAUAGUACUAUUUUUUUUUAUUUUAUAAAAAUAAAAAAAUAUAUAAAGUAUGCUUGACACGUGAAAUAAUUAAAAUAAACCCAUAGACGGACCAAGAAAGGUGGUGUAUCGAUGACAAUUGAUGCAAAUAACAAAUUCAGCAAAUAUUCAUGAAUUGAUGAUGGCUUCGUUAAUUAAGAGACAAGUUUGCAUAUUAUAAACAAGCUGGUUUUUCUCGUUUCUAAUAAAAACAUUCUAUAGGCUGAUCGCAUUGAAAUAAACUUUAUCUUAUAAACAAUGGAAUUAUAUUUUUAAUUAUUUGUUCUGUAAGCUCUUCUUCAUAUAUUCGUUUCUUUGAUCAUGCAAGACGUAGUUUGGUCGGAGAUGACGUACUUUGUCCGCAAAGAAGAAACUCGAGGAUGUGUAGGCCUUCCUUCACCUUUAAAAAAAUGUUCUCGACAUAAUAAAAAUACUUCUAUUUUUAAUAAAGCAUUUUAUACGAGAAAGCUUUCACUAUUAGACUUUUAUUAAAUAGAAAUGAUGCUUCUCUAAUUGGUUUUUACACGAGACAUCCUUUGCCUCUAUCUCUUUGCCUUCGGUCAUUGAAUAUGACCUUUCUAACCAACAUGGAAUGUUGUCUAAUCAUAAUUCCUCAUGCGUUUCUUCCGAAUGGGCCAUAUGCCCCUAAUUUUUGAAUCGAUGUUCAUGUUGGGUUAGGGUCCGAAUAAAUUGAGGUUUACCCAACAAAAUAAUGACUCGUCUAAGUUUGGUCUGUUGCCGUGAAUGUUUCAUGCGACGAAUCAAUUGCAGUGGAUUUGCUUGAAGCUCACCAUAUAUGUUCUUGCUGUCAACCCAGUGCGACGCUCAUUAAUCCUAUAUUAUAGGAGUGAGAAUUAUAUUAUUCCCGGGGAGAUUAUCAUUACCAACGAUAUUGUUGUUUGCUGAGUGUUACAGUUUGAUCUUGUUUUUGAAGACGUAAGGUCAUUUGAGGAUCCCUCGUGGCUGUCUGUCUGGCGAGGGAGCUAGUGUGGCACCGAAGAAUCUGAGAUAGUUUCUAAGGAUUCGAGAUGGACUUCGAUCUUCCCAGGUUCCUGCACAAAGGUUAGUGUCGGGCGGAGUUUCCCGACCUGACUUCUCCGAUGUUCAAAUUAGUUUUGUGGAGUUGUGUGAGGUAUAAAGGGUUUUUGUGAAAAGAGGUCCGACCCUUGGGCAAGCGUCGGGGGUUGGCUUUUAUACCUGGGCGAUCAAGGAGAUCGUUUGUUAAUAUUAUAAUGCCCUCCGCAUAGCAUUUUGUCCAUGUGAAUGAGAGGCCCGAGCGAUCCUCUACAGGUUAUCGUCUACAAAGGCCAACUGAGUGGGGAUAUAUCAGAAGGAUCACCCGGAGACCACUAUUCUUGGUGAUCGACAAAAUUAAUCGGAACGAUCUCCCGUGAACUAUUAUCUAUGAGGGCCGCCAAGUGCCCCACGAUGCUAUCGAGUUGGGAGGUGAUUUACCCUUACCUUCCAUGUCGACAUCUCGGUGGCGAUCAACUAUAAAGCUAGUUUUGUCAAAAUAUUUCCUAUUAGAUAUAUGAACCUGAUGUAAGAUGGGAACCUUUAACUCUAUCGAUAUUUCAUUAUCAUGAACUUACCUUAAUUUAUCUAAACCGUAUAUCACAUUCAUGCAAAGAGUUAAUCUUUCAAUGUGAAAAAAUAGAUAGUGACAUGUGAAUGCACUAUAAUAGUGACUUGGCUUAAAGCAUAAACUAAGAUUGCACUAGCAUCAUCGAAUAAAAUAAUUUAGUGGCAUGCUUUCACUUAUGCUCGAUAGCUUCUUGUUUUCUUUACUAGAACAAAAAUACAUUGCUUUAAAAGUAGCUUCAAGUAGGAAUUGAACUGCUUUAGUAGCUUCAUGUUCGAUCUUAUACAAUGUAUAGACUUGGAGAAAGAAAAACGAGGAUGAUGCAAGCCAAAAUUAACGAACUUUAAAUGAAUAGUCUAAGACAUGAGAGAAUAAAUGAGUUAGAGACCGGCGAAGCACCAUUAAGUGAUGAGAUAAAAAGAGAAUUUUGUAUACGAACAAAUAAAUCAUAACACGUAGCAGAAUUAAAUGAAAAUCAUAGUCAAAUAUAAUAUCAAAAUUUACGUAAAAAAUCUCUCCAACACGAAGGGUAAAAACCAUAGGGUAAGCAAGAGAAAAUCUACUAUAAAAAUAAUGAAUAUACAAAUCUCAGAGUCUUUUGCCCAAAACCCAAGCAACAAUCACAAGAGAAUAACUAUGAUAUAAGGAUUACGUCAUUGUGCAUAAUAUCUAAAAUCUCCUCAAGUGAUCACAACAAGAAUCUACAAUAAAUCUGAUCUAAUAUGAUAUUAUAAUACUUCUUGGAUGAUUGAGAAUAGUCUCUAUAUUGUCCUUGUCUUCUUUCCUUUCCUUCUUCUCUUGUUUUUCUUUCCUCAACUAUCACUGCUGCUUCUCUCUUUUUUACAACCAUCGCUGCCCUCUUUUUUUGCCCUAGAAACCAUACUUCUUGGUUAAAAGAGAAAAGAGUUAAGAUUAAAGUGGGCUGUGAAUAAUUAAAGCCUACUAUGAGUUGAAUAAUGAGUCAUUUGCCCAACAAUCUUCCUCUUCAGCCCAUAAGGGAGGUUGUCUCAUGACUCCUCAAUGUGAAAUCAUACCGACAAACUAUUGGUAAUCUUUUGCCUUUAUUUUGGUAAGGUCUUUAUCAACAUAUUUGCUCUAUUACCAUCUGUAUGAAUUUUCUAAAGUUGUAACUGCUUCUCUUCAAGUAUAUUUCGAAUCCAAUGGUAUCUGACAUCUAUAUGCUUUGACUUGGAUUGAAAAGUUGUGUUCUUACACAAAUAGAUGACGCUAUGACUUUCACAAUACACUACAUAGUUUUUUUUUUUUCGGUCAUAAUUUUUGUAAGAAUUUUUUUAUCCAUAAUAUUUCUUUGCAAACCUCUAUAGUAGUAAUAUAUUCUGCCUCUAUGGCGGAGAGAGCAAUAUACCUUUGCAAUCUGGAUUGCCACGACACAACUCCCCUUGUAAAAGUAAGUACAAAACCUAAUGUAUACUUCAUUGUAUCAAUAUCUAUUGUCGUAUCUGCAUCUGUGUAACCUGUCAAUAUAGAUGGUCCACCUCCAAAGCUUAAAAAAAAUAAUGACUCAUCUAAGUCUGGAUUGUUGCCAUGAAUGUAUCAUGCAACAAAUCAAUUGCAUUAGGUUUGCUCGAAGCCCACCAUAUAUGUUGCUUGAUGUUAGCCCAGUGCAACACUCAUUCAUCCUAAAUUAUAGGUGUGAGAAUUAUAUUAUUCCUCAUGAGAUUGUCAUUAUCAAUUAUAUUGUUGUUGCCUGAGUGUUGUCAAUUGAUAGUCGGUAUGAUUUGGUCUCAUUCUAAAGUUGCAAGGUCAUCCGAGGAUCCCUCGUGGUUGUCUAGCGAGGUGGUUGGUGUGGUGUCGAUGAAUCUAAGGUAGUUUCUGAGGAUCUAGGAUAGACUUUGGUUUUCUUAGUGGGUUUAUGCACAAAGGUUAAUAUCGGGGGGAGUUUCCCGACCCGACUCGAUCUCUCUGAUGUUCAAAUUAGCUUUGUGAAGUUGCGUGGGGUAUAAAGGAUUUUCUUAAAGAGAAGUCCGACCCUUGGACAGCCAUCAGGGGUUGACUUUUAAACCUAGGCGAUCGAGGGGAUCGUUUGUAACUGUUGUAAUGCCCUCCACAUAGCAUUUUGUCCAUGUGAGCGAUAGGCUCGAAUGACCUUUUGCGGGUUGUCGUCCACAAAGGCCGAUUGAGUGGGACAUACCUGAAGGAUCACCCGGGGAUCACCAUCUUUAGUGACCGACAUGAUUUUCCCAAACGACCUCCCGUAUACUAUUGUCCAUAGGAGUUGAUAGGUGCCCCACGAUGGGGUGACAAACCUGACGAUGGAGGCUUGAAUAGCUUGGAGGAUGAGAUGAUCUUGGGGUAAUCAUAGUUUAUGGGCUGGAUUUAGUACUAGACUAGGGUCUUCUAGGAUAUUGAUAAUUGUGAUGGACAAUGAAGAGAGCUAUUGACACAGUCUCGUAGAUCGUAUCCAAAUAGGAGAUUAGAAAAUUAUGCACGUCAAGAUGUGUAGUUGUCAUCUUUAGAUAAUUUAAAAGGGAUGAGUGUUACUUGAUGGUGAUAAGACAUAUGUUGAGAAGUGAUAUAUUCCCUGAGGGGAUAAUAACUAGAGCGUUAGAGGUAGAUGAUAAAGAUAUUUUGAGGAUAGGUAUAUGAGAGAGUAAGGGAGUUGUCAGCUGUAGAAGGAGAGUGGAAGAUGGCUCCAAUGAGGAUCGUAGUGAUUGCUGCAGCAGGUUGAGGUAUCUUCUUCUUCGCCCCUCUAGGAGGUCUCAGAUCCUUAGACAGAGAUAUUUAUCGAAGGAGGCAUUUGGGCGAGCAGAUCUUAAUGGGCUGAAGGUGCGGCCUGGAGGAGCAGUUCUAAUGGCGAAAGGAGAAGUUGAAGGAAGUUUGUUUCUGGAGCGAUUGGGUCUCGAUCGAGGAAAUCUCGCUGAUCAGUUGAGGGAAUUCCUUUCUUCUAACAUGUAUAAAUAGACAUUGUAUUCAACUAAUUGAAGAGUGCUUUGUCAUUACAUUUCAUUUUCUCAUGCUAUCAGAGUUGUAGUGAGCGAACGCUAGCGCAGAGCGACAGAGGGAGAAGAUAGACAGUCGUUGUUCGUUUAGGAGGAAAUCAGUGAUCUGAUCAACAAUCACUAAAGGUGGCAGCACCUGCGCUUCCUUUGGGAGCAUCGUCCGUGGUGAAGAGAGAAGAAAUAGGGAUGCUACACUAAAGGGAAGGGAUCGCCUUGCGCACGAACGCAGAUCAUCAGUCGUCGGUCGCCUUGCACUUGCUUGGGAGGUGGAGACCUUUGACAGGAGAUGUGGCACUUGCGUUUGGAGUAGCAGAGGCAACAACAAGAGCAGAUUCUCGAGUAAGUGACGCAAGCUUCCAUGAUCUUGAUGUCGGUGUAGCAAGAGGAGGCACUCCUCGUGCGCAGCUUGCAAUCUACAAGGUGUGCUGGGGUGCGCGGCUAGCAAUCUACAAGGUGUGCUGGGAUGUCAGGUUUGAGGAUGCUUGGAGUGGCAAAAUUUUGUCCUCUCGAUGAGAAGUAUGCAACAGAAGGCACCGGUGAGCAGCUGAACCGGUGCCGGGUGGUGGGCUCGAAAGGUGCGGGCGUUGGCUUUGCGCUUGCCACCGUUCUCCUCAAAGGCUACACGGAGGCGACCAAUGAGGGCGUCAGGGAGAGCUUUUCUGCCGGAUGAAGAGCCUUGAGGGAGGAAGAAGUGGCAGUAUAAGUUGCCUCAUCUAGACGACCAAGACACACAAUGGAAGCCACCUCGUCUAGGCGACCGGGACCGAUGAUUCGUUGAUGGAGAGGAAGGUAUAGUAGCAGACAAGGUGGAUACGGAGGAUCUCGUUGAUCUACUCCUCAUUGGCCUCGCAAGCAUGAUGUUGUCAUGCUAGUGGCGAUACUGAUAGAAGGUGAGUUAGCUAUCGCUGAACAUCGAGGAAGAGAAGAGAAAUCUUGCUAUAACGCAAGGGCUCUGAUACUGAUAAAAUGAAAUGUAAUGAUAAAGUACACUUCAAUUAGUUGAAUACAAUAUCUAUUUAUACAUGUAAGAAGAGAGGAUUUAUCUGAUCAGUAAAAUUUUCUCGUAUAGUUGAAGAAAUCUUAUCUGUUAUGAGGAUCUUCUAAUAUGUAUAGACUUUAGACGAUGAGAUGAUCUUCUAAUAGAAAGAAAAAUGAGGAUGAUGUGAACUUUAUAUGAAUAGAAUAAGACAUGGAAGAAUAAAUGGGAUGGAGAUUGACGAAAUCUUCACUUGGAUUACCAUCUUAUUCUAAAGACUUGAGCUGGAGGAAAAGGGUCCCAAACCUAACGACACAAUGUCGAUGCCUAUACGUAUUCUCCUCCGUAGAUCAUGACCCACUACCAACUCUUGACCGUGUUGUUCUUGACGAGGACUAGUCAUCAACGAAGCUCCGAGGUCACCCUAAUAUUUUAAGAAGGUUCAGAUGACCUGGGAGACUUCCAUCUCUCUCUGUUUGUGUUGGAAUUCUAAUGUAAACCCUUAUGCCAGGAUUAAUACUUAUAAUAAACCUUACACGAAGUUGGCUCUUUCCUAAUCGCUUAAGGUUUUGAGACUAACUGUAUCUCAAUCAAAAUUCGUAUCGUGAUAUUAAAAUAUAUUCGAGUGUGAAAUUUACAGUCAUAGAGCAAAGAUGAUGAUCCUCGUGAGUUUCUUUGGUCUUAGCUUAGUGGCGAGGAGUCACAAUCGAUUAGGAAAUCCGCUAAGCUGGCGCCGGCCAUUAAUUGACUCAUCGAUGGUGCGUCGACUAUGGAGAAAGACUAACAAGUUCGUGGUCGUUCCCAUGACGCAGCGGAAACCGUGUGCAAGCAGGGUUGAAGAAGGCGAACACGUCUUUCUUCCCCCAUUAAUUUCGCUCACCGCAUGUUGCAAGCCAAAGCUCAAAGGGCUUUACAUGAACAGAGUAUGGCAUUGAAGAAUUAAAGGUGUGGCGAUUAAUAUACUCCAUUAACCUUUUUGUGCUAACUUAGGUUCUGAUGGUGUGACAUGUGAGUAAGGUUCGGAGCCAAUCAAUGUUUACUUUUGACUCCGUCUCAGUCCGAGAUGUUGGGUAGCUGUUAAAGUCAGAUUUGUCGAGUCGAUUGCCUCGGCUAGUCGCUGGUGCAUCGUUUGACUAUGAACACCAACGUCAGCAUUUUCGCCUCCGUCGUUGUCCUUGUCCCACCGCCACCUCUAGGCUGAGUUGUUCCUUGCGAAGACUCGGUCGCAGGACCUUCUCGUAGUUCCCACCGGGGAGACUGACUUCACUUCCAUCCUUCUCUACGUGUUGGAAUUAUACAUCGGAUGCUCAUGCUUCAUUGCGAGGAUGAAUACUGACAAACCGAACACAUCGGCUGCGGUUGUUUAGGAUGAUGACGACCCAUUCAUUCCCAGCAGCCUCAUCUGCACGAGACUUCCUCGGAGUUUCCCUUCUGCAUUACGUCAAUGAAUUCAGUCUCAAAAUCAGUUCAAGAGUACCGGCAUACGCAUUAGAUAGAUCGAAUAGAGUCGGAUGCCCGAAAAGAAUCGAUCUACCGCCAUCCUUAUCUCUGUCCUUGACGAUGUUUGCACAGAGACGACUCGAUCCCUCACAAGUCGACUGUCUCAGUUGGUCGCUGGUGCAUCGACCAUAGAGGAAGACCAAAUAAAUGAAGGCGUGAAUGAGGCGGUGGCAACCGUACGCGAAGCAGACUCGAAGAAGUCUGCUCGCGGCGGAGCGCGCCACAGAAAUAUAAUAGAUUGUAAGAUUUUAUAUACUUCGAGGAUACGUUUCUUCUCAUGCUUAACCUCAAAGAAAGCUGGAAAUCACUUAAGCACAUGAGUUACAAAAAAACACUACAGCAAUACAAAUAAAUUAUACGAUGCAAAGAUGAUGAGUAGAUGAGCGCCUCUUCUAAGAGUCAUCCAACAGUUAGUCAAAGUCUUCAUGUCUUCAUCCCAAAGCGCAGCCUCCCCCUGUCAUCUCCUCUUCUCUGGUGCAGGUCCCAUCCCACCCUCCUUCCCUAUAUAACAUGAACGAGGCCUUCGCCAAUCGUCACAGGCAAUUCACCAUGGCCUCCCGUAACCUCUCCUCCCUCCUCCUCGUCGCCCUCCUCGUCUUCGCCUUCUCUGCCGGCUCCCACGCCGGCAGCAUCGCCGUGUACUGGGGCCAGAACGGCAACGAGGGCGGCCUUGCCGACACCUGCAACUCCGGCAUCUACUCGUACGUGAUGCUGGCUUUCCUCACCACCUUCGGCAACGGGCAAACCCCCGUCCUCAACCUGGCGGGCCACUGCGACCCCCCCUCCGGCACCUGCACCGGCCUCAGCUCCGACAUCCGCGCCUGCCAGUCUCAGGGCAUCAAGGUGCUCCUCUCCCUCGGUGGCGACUCCAGCAGCUACUCCCUGUCCUCCUCCGACGACGCCGCGAGCGUGGCGACGUAUCUGUGGGACAACUACCUCGGCGGCUCGUCCAGCUCGCGCCCGCUGGGCGACGCCGUCCUCGACGGGAUCGACUUCGACAUCGAGCAUGGCGGCCCCGACCACUACGACGAGCUGGCGAAGCAGCUGUCCGACUUGGGCAGCCAGGCGGGGACCAAGGUGUACCUCUCGGCGGCGCCGCAGUGCCCCUUCCCGGACCAGUCCUUGGGGAACGCGCUGCAGACGGGGCUCUUCGACUACGUGUGGGUGCAGUUCUACAACAACCCCAGCUGCGACUACUCGUCGGGGGUCAGCGGCCUGAGCAGCGCAUGGGGGACGUGGACGUCGAGCUUGUCGUCGUCGAUCGUCUUCCUGGGGCUGCCGGCCUCGCCGGACGCGGCCAAUAGCGGGUACAUCCCUCCCGACGACCUCACCUCCCAGGUGCUGCCGGCGAUCAACACUGCGUCCAACUACGGCGGCAUCAUGCUGUGGAGCAGAUACUACGAUCGCAACAGCGGGUACGGCGAGAAAGUGAAGAGCAGUGUUUGAGAUGGCGAUGUACUAACUACUAUAAGUGUGCUUCCGAUUACGAGGUC